rnacentral:rRNA from 1 species
GACGAACGCUGGCGGCGUGCCUAAUACAUGCAAGUCGAGCGGACUGAUUAAGAGCUUGCUCUUAUGACGUUAGCGGCGGACGGGUGAGUAACACGUGGGCAACCUGCCCUGUAGAUCGGGAUAACACCGAGAAAUCGGUGCUAAUACCGGGUAAUAUCUGAGAUCACAUGAUCUUAGGUUAAAAGAUGGCUCCGGCUAUCACUACAGGAUGGGCCCGCGGCGCAUUAGCUAGUUGGUAAGGUAAUGGCUUACCAAGGCGACGAUGCGUAGCCGACCUGAGAGGGUGAUCGGCCACACUGGGACUGAGACACGGCCCAGACUCCUACGGGAGGCAGCAGUAGGGAAUCUUCCGCAAUGGACGAAAGUCUGACGGAGCAACGCCGCGUGAGUGAUGAAGGGGUGCGGCUCGUAAAGCUCUGUUGUUAGGGAAGAAACAGUACCGAACGAACUAGGUCGGUACCUUGACGGUACCUAACCAGAAAGCCACGGCUAACUACGUG